UGACCAUUGGCUAGACAUUCCAAAACCUAAUCUCAGCACAGGGAGACAUUCCAGAAUCUCAAGGAAAUCUAAAAGGGGAAAAAGCCAAAUUAACAGAGCUGCUGACUAGAAGAAGGGUCCUGCUUCCAAUCAUGUGAUAAACCCAGAAAGUUAGAAUCUAAUUGGUAAGGAACAUGGAAAUACCAGAAUGGCACAAUAAAGGGUAAUCAAAUGUCAAGCUUUAAGAAUCUUACUGGAACGACGUGAUGGAAGCCUUACUUAUAGUGAAGACAUGUAGUUUCCAAAGUAAACAUUUUAUCAUUUGUGUGCUCUAAUUAUUUAAUGAAUAUACAACCACACUGUGGUUAAUAAAGUUAAUAAAAAUUAACUUUUGAAGUACUGCUGAUGAGUGAUCUUGUUACCCUCUCUGCCAGCAGCUCAGCAAAUCACUGGAGCCAAAUAUUGUUGUCUAAAACACAUCUUAGUUUUAACCUGAUGGUUAAAUAAUGUUAUGAGAAUAGAAUUGCCUUUGUUGUCAGGUGCAUUCGAAUGAAUAGAGUGAACAUUUGUAAUGUCGCCUCUUGGUGCCAUCUUGGGUACAGGGUACCUAGGUACAGAUACUUUAAGUGCUGUUACAGAAUUGAAGUAGUAAAACAAAAGACUAGCAUGGGAAUACUUUAAAAAGUCUAGAAUGAGAAUAAAAAGUGUCUUUAAGGUACUCAAGUUAUAGUCCUUUUUUCACUGGAUCCGUGCCCACCGGGUUUCAGAACCUGAAAGCGUGUUGCCUCCACGCACUGGCCUCUGUCAAGGACUUGCCUCCACGCACUGGCCUCUGUCAAGGACUUGCCUCCAGGACCCGUCUUCCCGGCCAACCCACGCUCACGCUGCUCCCGCUCUUCUCUGGCUGCAAAUCGGCUCCCAGCUCAGCCCACGCACUCUCACGGCCUACUGAGUG